rnacentral:tRNA from 1 species
GCAGGAAUAGCACAAUUGGCUAGUGCAAUCGCCUUGUAAGCGAUAGGUUGUGGGUUCGAGUCCCUCUUUCUGCACCA